GGGGGGGGGGGGCGGGGGGCGUGGCACGGGGGGGUCGGGGGGGGAGGCGCCGGUGGGGGGGCUCGAGGGGCGAACGGGGGGGUAACGCGUGGGUAACCGGCCCUUGACUUCGGGAUAAAUUCAGGGAACUGGGGCUAAUCCCGGGUAGGAGUCCUUGCUGCAUGGUGGGGGUUGGAGAGCUUCGGCGGUUUUGGAUGUACUCGCGGCCUCUCAGCUUGUUGGUGGGGUGGUGGCUUACAAAGGCUUUGACGGGUUACCGGCCUGAGAGGGCGACCGGCCACCUUGGGACUGAGAUACGGCCCAGACUCCUACGGGAGGCAGCAGUGGGGAAUAUUGCACAAUGGGCGGAAGCCUGAUGCAGCAACGCCGCGUGCGGGAUGACGGCCUUCGGGUUGGAAACCGCUGUCAGCAGGGGCGAAGCUUGUGGUGACGGUACCUGCAGAAGAAGCACCGGCUAACUACGUG
rnacentral:rRNA from 1 species